GGGGAAUUUUCCGCAAUGGGCGCAAGCCUGACGGAGCAAUACCGCGUGAGGGAGGAAGGCUCUUGGGUCGUAAACCUCUUUUCUCAGGGAAGAACAAAAUGACGGUACCUGAGGAAUCAGCAUCGGCUAACUCCGUGCCAGCAGCCGCGGUAAUACGGAGGAUGCAAGCGUUAUCCGGAAUGAUUGGGCGUAAAGCGUCCGUAGGUGGUUAUGUAAGUCUGUGGUUAAAGCGUGGGGCUCAACCCCAUAAAGGCCAUGGAAACUACAAGACUUGAGUGAAGUAGGGGUAGAGGGAAUUUCCAGUGUAGCGGUGAAAUGCGUAGAUAUUGGAAAGAACACCGGUGGCGAAAGCGCUCUACUGGGCCUGCACUGACACUGAGGGACGAAAGCUAGGGGAGCGAAAGGGAUUAGAUACCCCUGUAGUCCUAGCCGUAAACGAUGGAUACUAGGCGUUGCCCGUAUCGACCCGGGCAGUGUCGUAGCCAACGCGUUAAGUAUCC
rnacentral:rRNA from 1 species